UAAGACUAAGGGAGAAAAGAGACCAUCUUUUUGUACAUGUCGUAAGAAUAAUUUUGGUAACACAUUGGAAAGUGAGUAGGGACACUUACAAGAUUCUAGGUCGAGCAUUUGCCUAGCUCCAUGCUUCUUCAUUAGAUGCUGAAACGAAGUAUACUCUUCUUUAUAGAAAUCACAUAAAGAUCGGUUACAUGAUAUGUGUGAAGUUCUUGUAGGC
rnacentral:lncRNA from 1 species